GCUAUGGCGGGGGUGUAAUACCCGUUCCCUUCCCGAACACGGAAGUCAAGCCCCCUGGCGCCGAUGGUACUGCGCCUCCAAGACGCGGGAGAGUAGGUAGCCGCCGGGC
rnacentral:rRNA from 1 species